rnacentral:rRNA from 1 species
GUUGUUCGGCGUGGACGGUAUCCAACAGAAAGCCACGGCUAACUACGUGCCAGCAGCCGCGGUAAUACGUAGGUGCCAGCCGUUAUCCGGGAUUUAUUGGGCGUAAAAGCGAGCGCAGGCGGUUUUUUAAGUCUGAUGUGAAAGCCCUCGGCUUAACCGAGGAAGUGCAUCGGAAACUGGGAAACUUGAGUGCAGAAGAGGACAGUGGAACUCCAUGUGUAGCGGUGAAAUGCGUAGAUAUAUGGAAGAACACCAGUGGCGAAGGCGGCUGUCUGGUCUGUAACUGACGCUGAGGCUCGAAAGCAUGGGUAGCGAACAGGAUUAGAUACCCUGGUAGUCCAUGCCGUAAACGAUGAAUGCUAGGUGUUGGAGGGUUUCCGCCCUUCAGUGCCGCAGCUAACGCAUUAAGCAUUCCGCCUGGGGAGUACGACCGCAAGGUUGAAACUCAAAGGAAUUGACGGGGGCCCGCACAAGCGGUGGAGCAUGUGGUUUAAUUCGAAGCAACGCGAAGAACCUUACCAGGUCUUGACAUCUUUUGAUCACCUGAGAGAUCAGGUUUCCCCUUCGGGGGCAAAAUGACAGGUGGUGCAUGGUUGUCGUCAGCUCGUGUCGUGAGAUGUUGGGUUAAGUCCCGCAACGAGCGCAACCCUUAUGACUAGUUGCCAGCAUUUAGUUGGGCACUCUAGUAAGACUGCCGGUGACAAACCGGAGGAAGGUGGGGAUGACGUCAAAUCAUCAUGCCCCUUAUGACCUGGGCUACACACGUGCUACAAUGGAUGGUACAACGAGUUGCGAGACCGCGAGGUCAAGCUAAUCUCUUAAAGCCAUUCUCAGUUCGGACUGUAGGCUGCAACUCGCCUACACGAAGUCGGAAUCGCUAGUAAUCGCGGAUCAGCACGCCGCGGUGAAUACGUUCCCGGGCCUUGUACACACCGCCCGUCACACCAUGAGAGUUUGUAACACCCGAAGCCGGUGGCGUAACCCUUUAGGGAGCGAGCCGUCUAAGUGACAAAGAUUGCU